UGGGGAAUAUUGGACAAUGGGCGGAAGCCUGAUCCAGCAAUGCCGCGUGUGUGAAGAAGGCCUGAGGGUUGUAAAGCACUUUUAGUGGGGAUGAAAAGCACAUUGCUAAUACCAGUGUGUCUUGACCUAACCCAAAGAAAAAGCACCGGCUAACUCUGUGCCAGCAGCCGCGGUAAUACAGAGGGGGCAAGCGUUGUUCGGAAUUACUGGGCGUAAAGGGCGCGUAGGCGGCCUUCUAAGUCGAACGUGAAAUCCCUGGGCUCAACCCAGGAACUGCGUCCGAGACUGGGAGGCUAGAAUCCGGGAGAGGGAUGUGGAAUUCCAGGUGUAGCGGUGAAAUGCGUAGAUAUCUGGAGGAACAUCGGUGGCGAAGGCGGCAUCCUGGACCGGUAUUGACGCUGAGGCGCGAAAGCCAGGGGAGCAAA
rnacentral:rRNA from 1 species